rnacentral:hammerhead_ribozyme from 1 species
AUGCAGACGACGAGUCUCAAAUAGAACGAAAUGCGCGUCCUGAU